UCCCUGUAAAGAAACACCCCCAUAGUAUUGCUAGCUGCACAAGGAAAUUUAAAGGUAACGUGUAAUGUAGUAUAUCUUUGGUAUUUUUGAAUAAAACAUCUGAAAUAAAACAGUAAGUAAUGUUGUUGGAAGGUGAUUCUUAUAUGUCAAAAAUUGGACUAUGGUUCAUAGGUUCACCAAGUGUAAUUCUCCAAAGAAAAUGUCUGGUAAGUAACAUAAUCAUGUGAAAAAGUGAAUAAACAC
rnacentral:lncRNA from 1 species